rnacentral:rRNA from 1 species
UGCCAAUUCUUAUGUUUUGUACAAUAAGAGAUGAGGUGUAAAGGUGUAUCGUGUUCAGCAGAGGAACAAUCUAAUUAUUAUUGAGUGAGUGCUCAGAGAAGGUGAAAAGCCUGUGUGGUUGUUCUAACCUGUUGAACCGCGACACUGGAGAGUCUAGUUGUUUGAGAGUACAACUUAAAGCUGGUGGUAAAUUUCAUCAAAGGCUAAAUAUAUGAGGGGACUAAUAGCGAACAAGUACCAUGAGGGAAAGUUGAAAAGAACUCUGACGAGAGAGUUCAAUAGUACGUGAAACCAUAUUGAGUAAAACAGAUAACUGUGUUGUUAUGUGGUGUGCCUAUCAACAGUCUAUCUGGCAUUGCGAGGCUAUGAGCGUAGGUUGUCUAUUCAGCUGUUUGCUCGUGGUUAGCAUAGUCGGAUAUUCUGUGCACUAGUGCACACUCAGUCAUUGAGGAACUAUGCUGCUGCGGAAUCGGCGUCCAUCAGCCCGUACCUAGUACACAGUUGUACGCUGGUCGGUAGCUAGCUGGCGUAGUUUAGCUGUGUGACAGCUAUUGGUUGCGUUUAUCAAAGGUAGCUGCUUUAUCUGCGAAUUGGUUUAUUCCUUUUAUGCGGUGAGUAUGCUGCUGUAGGUAAGCGACCCGCUAUCAAUGGUUAACAUUAGUUAUUUGACCCGUCUUGAAACACGGACCAAGGAGUUCAAAUGGCACGCGAGUCAUUGGGUUUGGACACCCGAAGGCGAAGUGAAAUGCAAACGUAUUGUUAUUUGUGGUUGUUCCAUGAUUAAGCGAUAAGCUACUCAUGCUUUUCUGGCAUUUGUAGACUACAAGCGUGAUGU